rnacentral:lncRNA from 1 species
GUCUGGACUUCAUGGACUUCUUGAUUAAAUAAUUUAGAUUUUAUACAAUUUUAGCUUGUUACCAAAAGAAUGGAAAGUACAGUAUUAAAACCACUGGUGAACAUGUACUGUACAUGUAGGUGUGAAUGUCCUGCAAAAAGAACUGAUAUCAAAGUAUGUUCAUCUGCAGAAUUGCAGUAAAUAUAAAUAAUUUGAUGCACUCUGUUCUCAAGUAUAAUUGUACAUGUACACUUGCUUAUUUUUCUCUCUUUCCAAUGUCAAGUAUGCUUCAAGGCAUCCUUACCCUGAUCCCCUCCUGCUCCAUACACACACACUCAGAAGUUCAAAUAAUCAGCAUUUAUAUAUUACAAACCUACCUAGUCAGACUGGCCUAUACAAUGUAUAUUAUGAAUUGACAAGUUGUUCUUGUUUUGAAUACAUAAAAUAUUUGCCACUGGACAUAGUUUCCGUACAAUAACUUUAGUUUAAGUAAAUGGAUUCUAUCUCUAUGAAAUUUAAAUACAAGGUUUGAACCCACACAAGGAAGAUUGGGAUUGAUUUUGGGGUUAUGGUCCCAACAGUUUAGGAACAAGGAGCCCAAAAGGGGUCAAAAUAAGUAUUUUCCUAGGUUCCAGACAAUUACUUGUGUAUAAGUGUAUGGAUCUUUCUGAAAUUGUACCACAAGGACUUGAAGGUUCCAUACCAAAAAAAAAAAAGGUUGGGAUUGAUUUUGGGGGUUAUCAUGGUUAUGGCACAAACUGUUUAUGAAUUAGGGGCCAAAAACAAUACUUCUCUAAUACUUUGUAUAAGUUGCUUAUUUCUAGACCAAUUUCAAUGGGGUUUUAUUCUUGAAUUCUUGGGGUUCUUUAAUAUGCUGAAUCAAACCCUGUAUUAAGUUUUUUUUAAUUUGGUCCCCGUUUUUAUACGACCGCAAAAUGUUUGCGUUCUUAUAUUGGUAUCACGUUGUCGGCUAUAUAAAAUGUACAAUAUACAAUGCAAUAUUCACUUAACUACCAACUGAUAAAUUAAAGCAAUCUUCACCAUUCAGUGAUUACAAGCACUCUGAUUACCAUUCUAGGGUUAUGCCCCUUUACAAGUGGAAAAAUUGAAGAAUUUUUUAGUUUCUGUUCUCUUAACUUAAGUUUGUCUCAACUAAAUUUAAUGAAAUGUGUAUAAUAAUGCUUAUUACCUCUAAACUCAGUUUAAGUUCAAUUUUUGGCAUCUUCACUUUUACAGUUCUUGAGUUAUGUCCCUUUAUAACGUCAUAUGUAAGCAGGGGGCAUCAUCUGUGUCCUUUUGGACACAUUCCCCAUUUAUUUUUUUAGAAGUUACUAUUAAUUCUAACCAUGACUGUAUGACAUUUUAUAUUUUAAUAUUUUAUGAUGUAUUUAAAUGAGUAGUUAUUGUUGCAAACUCCAUUAGAAUUUUGAAUUGAGAUCAUUUUUGGAAUAAGAGAAAGGGGGACGUGGAAAAAAAUUGGGGUGGGGGUCAAUUUUUUUUUCUCAUUUUAGAUUUCAGAAUUUAAAAAGAAAAUUUCUUCAAAUAUUUUUUUUUUGAGAGGAUUAAUAUUCAACAGCAUAGUAAAUUGCUCAAAAGCAAAAAAAAAAAAAAUUAAGUUCAUUAGACCACAUUUAUUCUGUGUCAGAAACCUAUGAUGUGUCAACUAUUUAAUCACAAUCCAAAUUCAGAGCUGUAUUCAGCUUGAAUGUUGUGUCCAUACUUGCCUCAACCUUCAGGGUUCGACCUCUGCAGUCGUAUAAAGCUGCACCCUGCGGAGUAUCUGGUUAAAUUGGUCACAAUUUAGGUCCAAAUGCCAUACAUAUUAUACACAGGUAAUGUGUAGUACACAUGCAUGAAUAGAGUUAGUUUUCAUUAUUUAAAAAAAAAAGGAAAAUAUGUAGUAUCAUUGCCAAUGAGACAACUAUUCAUCAGGUCAAAAUGACUGAAUGUUAGCAACUAAAGAUCACUUUACAUGUAUGUACAGCUUUCAACAAUGAGCAAAACCAAUACAGCAUCAAGCAAGCUAUGUCCUGGAAUGACAGAUGUAAAACAAUUCCAAAGAGAAAAUUAAGGGCCUGAUUUACAUAAAAGCGAAAAAAACAACCAUGAGAUAAAUACAUGUAGCAAAAACAACAACUAUUAUUUCUCCACUCCAGUUGUUCACACGAUAUUUAUGUAUAUAUAUAUAUGUAAGUUUGGUAAAUCAUUACUUAUCAAAUUUAUGUUAUCAUUUUUUGCUUGAUUGGUAAGCCAAUAUUUUAUGGUUAUUUUUUUUUUAAUUACAGCAACUGUAUUCCAAGAGUCUGAUGGCUGAUAAUGUAUUACAGGAUUUUAUCAUUCAAGCAACAUCUUAGAAGGAUAAGUGCAAAUGUAUGAAGGAAGCCGUGGGUACAAAUAGCAAUUACAGCAGAUACAUGCAGGAGAGAACUCUUAAACAAAGACAUGAUAUGGGAGUGAUGUAUUCAAGAAAUCUCAAA